AACGAACGCUGGCGGCAUGCCUAACACAUGCAAGUCGAACGAGACCUUCGGGUCUAGUGGCGCACGGGUGCGUAACGCGUGGGAACCUGCCCUUAGGUUCGGAAUAACUCCCCGAAAGGGGUGCUAAUACCGGAUAAUGUCUUCGGACCAAAGAUUUAUCGCCUUUGGAUGGGCCCGCGUUGGAUUAGCUAGUUGGUAGGGUAAAAGCCUACCAAGGCGACGAUCCAUAGCUGGUCUGAGAGGAUGAUCAGCCACACUGGGACUGAGACACGGCCCAGACUCCUACGGGAAGCAGCAGUGGGGAAUAUUGGACAAUGGGCGAAAGCCUGAUCCAGCAAUGCCGCGUGAGUGAUGAAGGCCUUAGGGUUGUAAAGCUCUUUUACCCGGGAUGAUAAUGACAGUACCGGGAGAAUAGGCUCCGGCUAACUCCGUG
rnacentral:rRNA from 1 species